rnacentral:rRNA from 1 species
GAUGAACGCUGGCGGCGUGCCUAAUACAUGCAAGUCGAGCGAAGCGGGGACGGGUAAGUAACACGUGGAUAACCUCAUAUAAGACUGGGAUAACUUCGGGAAACCGGAGCUAAACCGGAUACUUGAAGAUGGAUCCGCGCUGCAUUAGCUAGUUGGUAAUGGCACGGCUUACCAAGGCAACGAUGCCUAGCCGACCUGAGAAGGUGAUCGGCCACACUGUAACUGAGACACGGUCCAGACUCCUUCGGGAGGCAGCAGGAGGGAAUUUUCCGCAAUUGGCGAAAGCCUGGCGGAGCAACGCCGCGUGUGUGAUGAAGGUCUUCGGAUCGUAAAACUCUGUGAUUAGGGAAGCGGUACCUAAUCAGAAAGCCACGGCUAACUACGUGCCAGCAGCCGCGGUAAUUC